UGGACCUGGUGUUUCUCCUCUCCCUGUGCUCUCUGCAUCAUUGGCUGUCCUCUCACUGCCUGAAAAAAUAUGUUGAAUUUAAGAGUUAACCAGUUAAGCAGCGUGUCAAUUACACUGACAACAUAAGUUAAAGGAACACCCAUGUACUACCUAUGUCAUCAUAAAUAGCCUAUACAGCAUGUUUUUUUUUCACAUUAAGAACUGACUUGUUUUCUAAUCUACGCGUCACCAGGCGUUUUUCUUUUACCGUGCACGACCGCCGAACACAGAGCGCGCGACUACUACCCCCCCCCGUCGUCGGACCUUCUCGACCGGUCCGCGAAAUAUUGUCUGACAUGAAACCGGUCCGUGAGGUAAAAAAGGUUGGGGACCACUGGGCUGAUCCACAGCGUGUGUUUACACACCACCUGGAUCCUGAUUGGUGUCGCUGCUGCAGCCGCAAGGCGCUGAUUGGAUGCUCACAGACUGUAAUACAGCGCAGAUGAAUAUGAUUCAGACUACGGCGUUUAUAUGUUCAACAAUAGGAAACGUAGUCUUAGCUGUUUUAAAAUUACACCAAGUUUAUUUUGGAUUAUUCCAACGGAAGAAUACAAGGCGCAGGGAACUUUGAGGUGCGUAAACGCUAUUUCCAAAUUCUAGAGGUGCGUAAACGGCGUUUACGUGCGUUUACCCUCCACUACAGCCCUGG
ensembl:lncRNA